rnacentral:sRNA from 1 species
UGCAAGAGCAUCGGCUCUUUCGUUGCCUU